UUGCAGGAUGAAUGGCACUGGGCUCCGACGGGCAUUGAUACAGCAACCCGGUUUAUGAUUGGAUAUGCCAUAUUGUGGCAGGCCUAGAAAACCUCGCCCACUGAAU
rnacentral:snoRNA from 15 species